CAGCAGCCGCCGGUAAUACGGAGGGUGCAAGCGUUAAUCGGAAUUACUGGGCGUAAAGCGCACGCAGGCGGUCUGACAAGUCAGAUGUGAAAUCCCCGGGCUUAACCUGGGAACUGCAUUUGAAACUGUCAGGCUGGAGUCUUGUAGAGGGGGGUAGAAUUCCAGGUGUAGCGGUGAAAUGCGUAGAGAUCUGGAGGAAUACCGGUGGCGAAGGCGGCCCCCUGGACAAAGACUGACGCUCAGGUGCGAAAGCGUGGGGAGCAAACAGGAUUAGAUACCCCGGUAGUCCCUGUCUCUUAUU
rnacentral:rRNA from 1 species